UAACAAGUUCUUACUCCUUAACAAUGUUUACUGAGGGCCUACUAUGCACCAGGUAUCAUUCUGUUGCUUAGGAUAGACCAAUGAGCAAAAUGAAUAAUAAUAAUGCCAUUCUGGAGCUCAAACUCUGGUGUCAGCAAACAACAUUAUGAAUAAUUAUAGGGUAUAUUAGGUGAUAAAUGCCAGAGGGGAAAAAACAGAACAAGAUAAAGGGCAUUGGAAAAUAUGCAUGUGGAAGGGCAGGAGACUGUCACUGAGGAAUUUAGGGUAGACCCUGCUAAGAAUGUAAUAUUUGAACAAAAGCUAAACAUGAAAGUUAACUAUGCUUAUUCUGGGGUCACAAUCUUUACCAAGAGGUGUAGGUGUACACAUCACAGGGGGAGGGAAUGGGCUACUGAGGCAAGGGCAGAGGCAGGGAAAGAAAUUAGAAGGACAGAGAGGAUGAUGAUGGUUGGUAGCACUGAAGGUGUUGAAGGUGGUCAGAUUUAGAGAGGACAUAACUGAAAGGUAAGGCCAACAGGAUUUCAUGGUGGAUUCCUGUGUAGAAUGAGUGAAAGAAAAGAGUUCAGCCUGACUCUAAAGGUUUUGGCCAAGAAUAUCUUGUUUCUUGAGAAAGAGUUAGUAGUGCAUGGUUUCGUGACAUUAAUCCUUUGUCAUUUAAAAUACAUAGACAAUUUGAUUUACUUUAUCUAAUGACAAUUAUUUUCCUGAUAUAGGCUCAGAACUUUGGAAAAAGGGAAUAGGAAAUAAGGAUGAGUUUAAGAAACAAAAAAAUAAGAUGCAAACAAAUGCUAAUCUUAACUCGUUUUUAAACAACAUUUCACUAUGGACUUCUUCAUUCCUUACCUAGAAGAAUUUUCUUUACAGGGAUACUUAAAAACUCCCACAGAGCCAGCAGGACUUCUAAGUUGGUGACCAGCUCACAAACCCUCCCCUUCCCCUAGCUUUGACCUACAUUGGGGUUCUGGAGGACAGGGUGAAAACCACUAUUCUAAUCCACUCCUUUUUCUUUCCAUUCCUUCCUGUCCUUCCUCCCCUUCCCCUCUCUCCUCCUCUCCCCUUUCCUUCUGUAAUAGCUUCUUUACACCUCUUACCUGGAAAUUCCUUCACUCUAAUUUCUCAUUGUCUUAUAGACUAAUCUCUGGAGUAAGAGUUAAGCUUGUUA